GUCCAGACAGCAACUCCCAGCCUGCAGAGACAGCCUACAGCUCAGGUAAGUGAAGAAUGGGGGGGAAAGGCUGCAGGGAGACAUGGGGACACUGUGACACUAAGGGACACAUGGGGACACUGAAAAACUAGGGGACACUGUGAGAUAUGGGGAUGCUAAGACAGAUGGAGACAUUGGGAGACACACUGAGACACAGAGACACAUGGGACACAGUGUCCCCAUGCCUCCAAGCCAGUGUCCCCAUUGUCUGUGUCCCCUAGUCAGUGCCUCCCAGUGUCUAUGUCCCCAUGUCUCUCAGUGUCCCUAGUGUCUGUGUCCCCAUGUCUCCCAGUGUCCCCAAAUGUCUGUGUCCCCAUGUCUCCCAGUGUCCACAUGUAUCCCAGCCAGUCCCCCCUAGUGUCUCAGUGUCCCCAUGUCUCCCAGCCAGUUUCUCUAAUGUCUGUGUCCCCAUGUCUCCCAGUGUCUGUGUCCCAUGUCUCUGUGUCCCCAAAUGUCCCUAGUGUCUCAGUGUCCCUAGUGUCUUAGUGUCCCCAUGUCUUCUAGUGUCUGUGUCUCCAUUUCUCCCAGUGUCCCCAUUGACUUCCAGGUUCACUGGAUACUGCUGUUAGGGGGUAUGGGUUUACGUCAAAGAUUAAAGCAUAAAUUAGAGAGAGAUUAGCAUAGAGUAUGUGUUUUCUUAAAGCUGCAUCCUUUGAGUUUCCCUCCAACACCAUCUCCAUUAGAUACUUGACGCUUGAGAGGUAUGACUGUUUUAGUGUCUAUGGUCGAUAAGAUUCUUGUCAUGACUGCUAGUGUGGUCCAGCAUGCAGAACUAUGUAACCUCUACAUAGACCGAACAGAAAAUUAUGAAACGUAAACCGGUCCUUAGAAUGGCCGGACUAAUAUGUUAAAAACAGAGAAUGGUCAAGGGAGCCAGAAAUAUACAAUACCAUUUAACAAGCCAAGUCAGGGAAGCCAGGAAUCAGAAUAGUCAGGAAUAGCCAAGGUCAAAAUACUGGGAAAAUCAAAAACAGGACAAGAAAACGCACUCCAAGGAUUCAGGACCCAGGAACGAAAACCACGACAGGGCAAUAACCUAGGUUAAAUAUCCCUCUGGCCUCUGACUGCAGAACGUGUGUGUGUGACCCAGGGGGGCAGAGCUAUAUCUAGUUGCGACUGCGUGUUCAGCACCAUCUUGAUCCCGGGCAGGCAGCUGGGAGAACCCGGCAGAGCGGCUCCCGACUCACCGCUGAGCAGGUAAGCUCAGUUUGUUGGCGCGGUCGUACUGGUCCGUUGCGACCGCACCUCGCUGCGAGCCAGGGGCCGUGACAUUUCUGUAAUUAGGCCCCAUCAUAAUUGUCAGCACCAGGCCCACUGGGCUCUUAAUCUGGC